CACCUGCUUACGGAAGCUGUCAGAGUACAGCACCUGAGCAACAGGAGAGAACCGCACAAACAAGACGUCAGAGACAGCACCAGGGAGAUCCGGUAUGGAUGUACCUUGCCCCAGAGAGUCUUUGUACUUUGUCUACAGCACCAAUCAGUUCAGCACAAAUUAAAAAGGCAACAGGAGAAAUCAUUAACAUGACAGGUACCGACAUAAGUGACACCAUCACCUGUUUAAAAAUGUAUACAGGAAACAAAGACUUAUCUUGACAAAAA